AGAGGAAGUAAAAGUCGUAACAAGGUCUCCGUAGGUGAACCUGCGGAGGGAUCAUUACACAAAUAUGAAGGCGGGCUGGAACCUCUCGGGGUUACAGCCUUGCUGAAUUAUUCACCCUUGUCUUUUGCGUACUUCUUGUUUCCUUGGUGGGUUCGCCCACCACUAGGACAAACAUAAACCUUUUGUAAUUGCAAUCAGCGUCAGUAACAAAUUAAUAAUUACAACUUUCAACAACGGAUCUCUUGGUUCUGGCAUCGAUGAAGAACGCAGCGAAAUGCGAUAAGUAGUGUGAAUUGCAGAAUUCAGUAAAUCAUCGAAUCUUUGAACGCACAUUGCGCCCUUUGGUAUUCCAAAGGGCAUGCCUGUUCGAGCGUCAUUUGUACCCUCAAGCUUUGCUUGGUGUUGGGCGUCUUGUCUCUAGCUUUGCUGGAGACUCGCCUUAAAGUAAUUGGCAGCCGGCCUACUGGUUUCGGAGCGCAGCACAAGUCGCACUCUCUAUCAGCAAAGGUNUAGCAUCCAUUAAGCCUUUUUUC
rnacentral:rRNA from 1 species